AUUCUGCAUGAAAAAUCCCCCUAAGCAGGACGCAGGACAUCAAUGACUUCACUUACAGCAACAUAAACACGUGAAGAUGAAAAGAAGAAGAUUUUAAACACUACAAACCUUGUACCAGGAAAAUGCAAUAUGGCUGUCCCAUCAUGAACUUGGGCAGGAUCAGGAAUAUCUGAUCCGAGGUCAAAGUCAGAGGACCAGCACAAAACCCCGGAGGCGUUAUUGACAACGCUCCAGGCUGGGAGGUUUUGGAGACUGACAGAUGUGCACUGCAGCUUCCCACACAGACUGUGCCUGCAUGGAAUAAAAGAUACUCAGAGACAAGGUAGGGCCAGAUUCUGCCACUCCUUCCCUGAGGAUCAUAUUCUGGAUAAUAAGUUGGCAGCUGGUGUGGAUCACCACUGGCAGUUUUACUCUGUGUGAUUCUCUCCACACUGUUAGACACUGAUUUCAAAGGAGUUUUCAACAACAAAUGUACAGGAUUUCCUCAGCAGGGCUCCCACCAGCUUGGUGUCCAUGGAAAUGAAGGCCACAAGGAAAUGUCUUUGUGCCACAAGGAAAUAUCCCACCUGUGCCAGAGCAAGAGCCCUGGAGAUGCUCUGGACUUCAGCUCAAGGGAGAAACAGAAAUAUAUUUACCCUGAGGAGCCUGUCCCUGCUGGAGGUGCUGUUUGAUGAAAAUGUGUAUUUCACAGACUGCUUCACAAACAUCUCAUGCUCCAGGCUGCCAUUCAGCACCCCACAGUGGAAGGGGAUACCCUGCCCAUCUUCCAAUUCGUAAAGCACAUGUUCAAAUGUGCUGGAUGUGUUGAGGGGCUCCAUUCCAUACCAUUUGCCUCCAAUGUAGAGAAUUCCCCUAACAAUCAUAAUAGAAUGAAACAUUAUUUCAUCAUUUUUUCCCUCGUGAUGACUAGAUGAAUGAAUAACAGCUAGAUACUUAGACACUAUGUGGAAACAAAUUAUUAUGUGAAAUCAUAUUAAUAUGGGGGUAAGUUCAAAUGCCCAAUAAAAGACAAAACAGAACUUAUU